UUUCUGUGCUCCAUUUUAAAUGUCAGACAGUAAUGGCAGUGUCAAAGCACAGCAGAGAUGCUACCAACAGGGUGAUUCUAUCAGCAUGGAAAGGCAUGGCAUGUACCCCCCUGACCCUGAUCAUUUGUCCUUAACAGCAGGGAUCAUUUCUGCCACUGCAGGGUGAAGUAGAAGAGGACUGAUGAGGUUAAAACUAAGCUGAGUUUUCUUUGCUGGUUUAAUUUUAACCUGAGUUAUUUUUUGAUCCAAUUUAUUGUAGGAUUUCUGAACAUUUGUGCUGGCAUGAAGAAGGGGACACCUGAGGAUUAAGAAUAAAUACCAAAAGGAGAAGCAGACUUCUCUUCCCACCUCCCCAGUCCCCUUUUAGCAACAGUGCUGGUUUAAAAUGCUCAUGAAGCUAUGGUGUUGUUCUCUGUCCUCCUGCGGUCUGUUUCAUAGCUCUAAAUUUGACUCUCAGAAACAGAAGAACACUUCAGUGUUGUGAACUGGAGCAGAAUAUGAAGGCAAAAGCAGAACUUGUUUGUUACAGACUUUCUCAUGCAAUUCCCCCAUAAAAAUCAUCCAUCAGCCCAUGGUAUUAUACAUGGAGGCACACCUGUGUGGCUGGGUUGGAUUAGAUGAACAGUAGCAUCAGGUUUAAAUAACAAGGAGAACAGUUUAAUGGAGACUGAUUUAAAACAUGGAGCUUUGUCAUUAUGGGGAAGGAAAGAAGCAGCGAGAGAUGCUGUGAUUUCAGCUUCUUCAGUAACUCUUGUUUACAAAUGAGAAGAAAUAGGAGAAUCCAGCCUAAGUGUACCGUGACUGAAGCUUAGUAAUAAUCCUGAGAGGUUUCUCUUGCUUUGAAAGUAUUGCUUAGAAGUGCAGGAGAAAACCUUAUACAGUUUCUUGUGUUGUCAAAAAUGAGUUGGUCUUCUUCAGGUAUGAGGAAAGAAUCACCCUGAAGAUGAUUUUUAUUCCUGCAUGACAUAACACAGCAAAUUUGAAUGUUCUUACAAGAAAGUAAUAAAAUAAAAUGAGAAUAGAAAGCAUUACAAAGAACGGAAAUAAAUAAAAUAAAGUACAGGGCAUUAUUCUUAAUGGGGCAUAGUUGAGUCCUUUGGAUUUGUCUUUUACUCCUUUCUAUGUAGACUAUCCUGGGAAUGCUAACAGUUUUUCAACAGAGUCAAAACCUGUGUAAAGGUGUAUUACAAAUCCUCUAAUUAAAAGAAUCCCUGCACUGCAACAAGCCAAGGGAACGCAGUGUGCCGCUUUCUGCUAC